rnacentral:rRNA from 1 species
UACGUAGGGCGCAAGCGUUGUCCGGAAUUAUUGGGCGUAAAGAGCUCGUAGGCGGUUUGUCGCGUCUGCUGUGAAAACCUAAGGCUCAACCUUGGGCUUGCAGUGGGUACGGGCAGACUAGAGUGCGGUAGGGGUGACUGGAAUUCCUGGUGUAGCGGUGGAAUGCGCAGAUAUCAGGAGGAACACCGAUGGCGAAGGCAGGCCAC